GUUCCAAUAGAGGAAAAAUGCAAGGGAGAGCAAGGACCAAUGGUGCCAAAGGCUGCUAAGACCACCAUGCCAUGGAUCUGCCUUCCCUUGGCACCAGUGUCUGAUAUUAACCAUCAGAAUAUAGUAAAACAUCCUGUAUUUCAGGGAAAUAACCAGGAAUAUUUAUCAGGAAACUCAGGAAGGGAUUAAUAACUGGUUUGGUAAGCAGAAUUGGUAUCUAGGCCCCAUUUCCAAUUAAUUAUAAGGACUUCUUGCUAAUCAGUACAGUAGAGUUCUAAAUUGUUUCAAAUUGAAGAAGGAUCAUGCAGAAUGCCUGUUUGUGGGAGCAGAUUUUCAGGCUGUGCUUCUGCCUCACCAUCACAGUUACCUCAGAUAUUGCAGGUAAACCAAGGUUUUGGGAAUAAAAACUUAUCUUGCCUUUCUGUGUCACA